rnacentral:misc_RNA from 1 species
GAUGAAGAACGUAGCGAAAUGCGAUAAGUAAUGUGAAUUGCAGAAUUCAGUGAAUCAUCGAAUCUUUGAACGCACAUUGCGCCCGCCAGUAUUCUGGCGGGCAUGCCUGUUCGAGCGUCAUUUCAACCAUCAAGCCCCCGGGCUUGUGUUGGGGACCUGCGGCUGCCGCAGGCCCUGAAAAGCAGUGGCGGGCUCGCUGUCACACCGAGCGUAGUAGCAUACAUCUCGCUCUGGGCGUGCUGCGGGUUCCGGCCGUUAAACCACCUUUUAACCCAAGGUUGACCUCGGAUCAGGUGGGAAGACCCGCUGAACUUAAGCAUAUCAAUAAGCGGAGGA